rnacentral:rRNA from 1 species
UACGUAGGGGGCAAGCGUUGUCCGGAAUUAUUGGGCGUAAAGAGCGCGUAGGCGGUCCGAUAAGUCGGCUGUGAAAGUCAAGGGCUCAACCCUUGAAAGCCGGCCGAUACUGUCGGACUAGAGUCCGGAAGAGGCAAGUGGAAUUCCCGGUGUAGCGGUGAAAUGCGCAGAUAUCGGGAGGAACACCAAUGGCGAAGGCAGCUUGCUGGGACGGUACUGACGCUGAGGCGCGAAAGCUAGGGGAGCAAACGGG